GACGAGCGCUGGCGGCGUGCUUAACACAUGCAAGUCGAGCGGAAAGGCCCUUUCGGGGGUACUCGAGCGGCGAACGGGUGAGUAACACGUGAGCAACCUGCCCCUAGGUUUGGGAUAACCCUCGGAAACGGGGGCUAAUACCGGAUAUGACGUAGUGUCGCAUGGCAUCUGCGUGGAAAGUUUUUCGCCUGGGGAUGGGCUCGCGGCCUAUCAGCUUGUUGGUGGGGUAAUGGCCUACCAAGGCGACGACGGGUAGCCGGCCUGAGAGGGCGACCGGCCACACUGGGACUGAGACACGGCCCAGACUCCUACGGGAGGCAGCAGUGGGGAAUAUUGCGCAAUGGGCGGAAGCCUGACGCAGCGACGCCGCGUGAGGGAUGACGGCCUUCGGGUUGUAAACCUCUUUCAGUAGGGACGAAGCGCAAGUGACGGUACCUACAGAAGAAGCACCGGCCAACUACGUGCCAGCAGCCGCGGUAAGACGUAGGGUGCAAGCGUAGUCCGGAUUUAUUGGGCGUAAAGAGCUCGUAGGCGGCUCGUCGCGUCGACCGUGAAAACCUACUGCUUAACAGUGGGCUUGCGGUCGAUACGGGCGGGCUAGAGUUCGGUAGGGGAGACUGGAAUUCCUGGUGUAGCGGUGAAAUGCGCAGAUAUCAGGAGGAACACCGGUGGCGAAGGCGGGUCUCUGGGCCGAUACUGACGCUGAGGAGCGAAAGCGUGGGGAGCGAACAGGAUUAGAUACCCUGGUAGUCCACGCCGUAAACGUUGGGCGCUAGAUGUGGG
rnacentral:rRNA from 1 species